CGAUGUGGCUCAGGUGGUAGAGCAAUUGAUUCGUAAUCAAUAGGUCGGGAGUUCGAGUCUCCCCAUCGGC
rnacentral:tRNA from 1 species